GGCCACUUUCAGGGCCAUCUAUUAACCCCUGCAGAGCCAUGCUCCGUGGGAGCCACCCUGAGAAAGGCUGCUCAGCGACAGGACGUUUGUGGAAAGAGCCCAGGGAGUGCAGGAAUGCAUCCCUGUCACAAAGAGCUGCGCCCUGGGCCUUGCUGCCCUCUGGAGAGAGAAGGUGCCUAGCAACAGGAAUUAGCUAGUGAGGGGGAGGGAGGACUGCUGUGUAACUUAAAAGCCAACGAAUCUGACCAUCUAGUAACAGGAAUUAGCUAGUGAGGGGGAGGGAGGACUGCUGUGUAACUUAAAAGCAAACGAAUCUGACCAUCUAGCUUCUGAUCUCUGAUGGGAGAUGGCGUUCAUUCCUUCACUGAGCACGGACCUGUGGGGUGCCCAGCAUGGGAUGGUGCUCCCUGGCUCCUGUCCUCACGGGGCUUCCAGUCUACAAGUUACGAGGUCUGCAGGGCCAGUGUUGUGGAAGGCACCACUCUCUCCGACUCUUGGCAGGAGAAAGACGUCGACUGCCUGUCUGCCAACAAUGCCAGUUCCUUGUUAGGAUACAAGGAUGACUGUGCCUGGUGCCCUCGCUACUGGAGCUCCAGUCCAGAGCUGGUGAUGGGUCAGUGGACAAAGGACCAUGAUAAAAGAAAGAAUGGAGCAAGGACAGUAAUCAAGUUCUCAGGGUGAUUUGCUCACUGAACAUCCCUGCCCCACUGAAGCAGGCAAACCAGGGGACUUGCCUUGGCCGAUGAAAUUGGAGUACAAGUGUCAUGUGGGAGUAAGGCCAUGUGACUUGCCUUGGCCAGUGAAAUGUGAGCAGAAGCGUCAUGGGGCUCUCCUGGGCAGAAGCUAAGAGCCACCAUUUGUUCACCAUGCGCUCAUUUCCUGUCUCUCUGACAGGCUGCCAUGCUCCAGUUUGUAGAUGUCCAUCCACCUGUGAAGGGCUGAGCCAAGCCCUGGGCAUGGGGCUUCAUCUCCUGUGUCAAUUCAGGCAAGAGGAAGAGAGAGGAGGAAGCUUCCAGAUCCAAGCCAGAGGAGGUGGAUGCAGCACCCAUCGCCCACAGCUUUGGGGCCUGGUCCAGCUUCUACCUGGCCGAGACACCCAACCCCAACCCCACCCACAUGGGCAUGCAGAAGAGUCUGAGACGGUGCACACUGACCUGCGGCAGAGUUUCAGGUGA
rnacentral:lncRNA from 1 species